AGGAAUAUUGGUCAAUGGACGAGAGUCUGAACCAGCCAAGUAGCGUGAAGGAUGACUGCCCUAUGGGUUGUAAACUUCUUUUAUACGGGAAUAAAGUGAGGCACGUGUGCCUUUUUGUAUGUACCGUAUGAAUAAGGAUCGGCUAACUCCGUGCCAGCAGCCGCGGUAAUACGGAGGAUCCGAGCGUUAUCCGGAUUUAUUGGGUUUAAAGGGAGCGUAGGCGGACGCUUAAGUCAGUUGUGAAAGUUUGCGGCUCAACCGUAAAAUUGCAGUUGAUACUGGGUGUCUUGAGUACAGUAGAGGCAGGCGGAAUUCGUGGUGUAGCGGUGAAAUGCUUAGAUAUCACGAAGAACUCCGAUUGCGAAGGCAGCUUGCUGGACUGUAACUGACGCUGAUGCUCGAAAGUGUGGGUAUCAAACAGGAUUAGAUACCCUGGUAGUCCACACAGUAAACGAUGAAUACUCGCUGUUUGCGAUAUACAGUAAGCGGCCAAGCGAAAGCGUUAAGUAUUCCACCUGGGGAGUACGCCGGCAACGGUGAAACUCAAAGGAAUUGACGGGGGCCCGCACAAGCGGAGGAACAUGUGGUUUAAUUCGAUGAUACGCGAGGAACCUUACCCGGGCUUGAAUUGCAACUGAAUGAUGUGGAGACAUGUCAGCCGCAAGGCAGUUGUGAAGGUGCUGCAUGGUUGUCGUCAGCUCGUGCCGUGAGGUGUCGGCUUAAGUGCCAUAACGAGCGCAACCCUUAUCGAUAGUUACCAUCAGGUUAUGCUGGGGACUCUGUCGAGACUGCCGUCGUAAGAUGUGAGGAAGGUGGGGAUGACGUCAAAUCAGCACGGCCCUUACGUCCGGGGCUACACACGUGCUACAAUGGGGGGUACAGAAGGCAGCUACACGGCGACGUGAUGCUAAUCCCGAAAGCCUCUCUCAGUUCGGAUUGGAGUCUGCAACCCGACUCCAUGAAGCUGGAUUCGCUAGUAAUCGCGCAUCAGCCACGGCGCGGUGAAUACGUUCCCG
rnacentral:rRNA from 1 species